CAGAUAUAAGGGCUGCUGGGAGGCUCGCUCGGCACCGGAGUCUGAGACCAACUGCCACGAUGUCCCUGAUUGGUGCCGACACGCUCAACGCCCUCAGCCAGGUGCGGCUGGAUCCCGACGAUGAGGCACGGCGCCAAGCCCUCCUGAUCGACAUGGCCAUCGGAAACGGAGAGCCCCUCAUCGGCUCCGAUGUCUCCUACGACGUGUUCGCUGCCCUGUUGACCCUAGAGCUGAUCUCCAGCAGGAACGGUUAAGCGGAAGGAGAGCGCCCCGCCGGAGCCGCUGCGCCCGACAUCGACGCCUCCCUCCCCUCCGGCUCCCCAUCCGCGCCCCAGUCGGCAGCAAUAAACUUGUUGGCCUCUGA